AUAGGCAAUUAUUCCUGNUAAUGGUUUUUUGUUUAAUGUUUUUUCGCCUAAGGAUGGGUCUGCGGCCGAUUAGGUAGUUGGUUAGGUAAUGGCUUACCAAGCCUUUGAUCGGUACGGGUUGUGAGAGCAAGAGCCCGGAGAUGGAACCUGAGACAAGGUUCCAGGCCCUACGGGGUGCAGCAGGCGCGAAACCUCCGCAAUGUGAGAAAUCGCGACGGGGGGAUCCCAAGUGCCAUUCUUAACGGGAUGGCUUUUCAUUAGUGUAAAGAGCUUUUGGAAUAAGAGCUGGGCAAGACCGGUGCCAGCCGCCGCGGUAACACCGGCAGCUCUAGUGGUAGCAGUUUUUAUUGGGCCUAAAGCGUCCGUAGCCGGUUUAAUAAGUCUCUGGUGAAGUCCUGCAGCUUAACUGUGGGAAUUGCUGGNGAUACUAUUAGACUUGAGAUCGGGAGAGGUUAGAGGUACUCCCAGGGUAGAGGUGAAAUUCUGUAAUCCUGGGAGGACCGCCUGUUGCGAAGGCGUCUGACUGGAACGAUUCUGACGGUGAGGGACGAAAGCUAGGGGCGCGAACCGGAUUAGAUACCCGGGUAGUCCUAGCUGUAAACGAUGCGGACUUGGUGUUGGGGUGGCUUUGAGCUGUCCCAGUGCCGAAGGGAAGCUGUUAAGUCCGCCGCCUGGGAAGUACGGUCGCAAGACUGAAACUUAAAGGAAUUGGCGGGGGGAGCACCACAACGCGUGGAGCCUGCGGUUUAAUUGGAUUCAACGCCGGACAUCUCACCNAGAGGCGACAGCUGUAUGAUAGCCCAGGGUUGAAUGACUUU
rnacentral:rRNA from 1 species